UACGCCUCUCUCUCUCUCUCUCUGUUCUCUCUCUGUCUCAGAGUGAAGCGGCUGAGGAAGGAAGGGGUUUUGGAACUUUGGAGCGAGGAGGGAAGUUGAUUGCAGGAAGAACUGUGUUGGUUGCCGGAUUGCGGCUGCCGAUGGCCUGAAUCCAGCUGGAAAGUCGCGUUCUUCUCUUAUGGCUCUACCCGACGCGAAGUCUCCGACGGAAGGUAAGGUCUGGAACCUCUGCCGGAUGCCGUUCUGGCAAUCCGGAGCGACAUCGUCUUCCCCUUCAUCUUCCUCCCAGAACGCUCAGCUUCAGCAGAGCGGAAGCCAGGGCCAGGCCGAAGGCUCGAACCCAAAGCCGAACACUGUUUCGUCCGUCGCUCGCGCUCUCCUCCCGACUCGCCGUCGUCUUCGGCUUGAUCCGACGAACAAGCUCUACUUUCCAUAUGAGCCAGGGAAGCAAGUAAAGAGUGCAGUGAGGAUUGUAAACACAAGUAAAUCUCACGUAGCGUUUAAGUUCCAAACGACUGCGCCAAAGAGUUGCUUUAUGCGUCCCCCCGGAGGGAUACUUUCACCCGGAGAGAGCAUUAUAGCCACUGUCUUCAAAUUCGUUGAGCACCCCGAAAAUAAUGAGAAAGUGUCGGACCAGAAGACCAAAGUCAAGUUCAAAAUCGUCAGUUUGAAGGUGAAAGGGGGAAUGGAGUAUGUGCCCGAGCUGUUCGAUGAGCAAAAGGAUCAGGUCUCUGUGGAGCAGAUUCUACGAGUAAUUUUCUUGGAUCCUGAACGACGUUCUCCGCACUUGGAAAAACUUAAACGUCAACUUGAUGAGGCAGAGGCAGCCCUUGAGGCACGGAAAAAACCCCCGGAGGAUGCUGGACCGAAGAUUGUCGGUGAAGGCCUCGUCAUUGAUGAAUGGAAGGAGAGAAGAGAAAAGUAUCUAGCACGGCAACAAGUGGAAGGCGCUGAUUCAGUAUAAUGUGGCAUUGUCUCUAUGAUAAUUCAAGUUUGCAAUCGAGAAAAUGAAAAUAAGAACUUGAGACAGGAAAGCAGACGCUAACAUAUGGGCUUCUGGAAUUCUUGUUGCUGCUGACCUGACUCCAUUUUUUCUCUUGUUCUGCACCUUGCAAUAACUUUGUUGCUGGUUCAGACGUGUCCUUGUAAGCUCAACAACGUGGGCACCAGAUUGGACUUAAAUCUUCAAAUCGAAAGUGUUCAAUGCCUUAGGUAUGUGGCCAGUUUGCCCAAAAUCAAUUCAUCAAUAAGAUUGAAUAAAAAACUUUGUUUUCUUUGCAGGCGUUUCGCAGAUGAACAUUAUGUUUCUGAAACAUGUAGUUCUCUCCAAAAAAAUAUGAUAUGAAUGGAUCCCAGACCACUAGGUCUGGGACAAGAACGAGAUCACUCAAACUUUAUUAUUGAAGUGCUUUUUGCAUAAUCCAACUGUAUAGAUAUGUUCUUAGGCUUGUUUUAAUGAUGGUACUCAAGUCAUUUUUUGAAUUUAGUA